rnacentral:rRNA from 1 species
CCUUAAUUUUCUAAAGGUUGACCUCGGAUCAGGUAGGAAUACCCGCUGAACUUAAGCAUAUCAAA